rnacentral:rRNA from 1 species
UUGAACGCUGGCGGCAGGCCUAACACAUGCAAGUCGAGCGGUAGCACAGAGAGCUUGCUCUCGGGUGACGAGCGGCGGACGGGUGAGUAAUGUCUGGGAAACUGCCUGAUGGAGGGGGAUAACUACUGGAAACGGUAGCUAAUACCGCAUAAUGUCGCAAGACCAAAGUGGGGGACCUUCGGGCCUCAUGCCAUCAGAUGUGCCCAGAUGGGAUUAGCUAGUAGGUGGGGUAACGGCUCACCUAGGCGACGAUCCCUAGCUGGUCUGAGAGGAUGACCAGCCACACUGGAACUGAGACACGGUCCAGACUCCUACGGGAGGCAGCAGUGGGGAAUAUUGCACAAUGGGCGCAAGCCUGAUGCAGCCAUGCCGCGUGUGUGAAGAAGGCCUUCGGGUUGUAAAGCACUUUCAGCGGGGAGGAAGGCGUUAGGGUUAAUAACCUUGGCGAUUGACGUUACCCGCAGAAGAAGCACCGGCUAACUCCGUGCCAGCAGCCGCGGUAAUACGGAGGGUGCAAGCGUUAAUCGGAAUUACUGGGCGUAAAGCGCACGCAGGCGGUCUGUCAAGUCGGAUGUGAAAUCCCCGGGCUCAACCUGGGAACUGCAUUCGAAACUGGCAGGCUAGAGUCUUGUAGAGGGGGGUAGAAUUCCAGGUGUAGCGGUGAAAUGCGUAGAGAUCUGGAGGAAUACCGGUGGCGAAGGCGGCCCCCUGGACAAAGACUGACGCUCAGGUGCGAAAGCGUGGGGAGCAAACAGGAUUAGAUACCCUGGUAGUCCACGCCGUAAACGAUGUCGAUUUGGAGGUUGUGCCCUUGAGGCGUGGCUUCCGGAGCUAACGCGUUAAAUCGACCGCCUGGGGAGUACGGCCGCAAGGUUAAAACUCAAAUGAAUUGACGGGGGCCCGCACAAGCGGUGGAGCAUGUGGUUUAAUUCGAUGCAACGCGAAGAACCUUACCUGGUCUUGACAUCCACAGAACUUAGCAGAGAUGCUUUGGUGCCUUCGGGAACUGUGAGACAGGUGCUGCAUGGCUGUCGUCAGCUCGUGUUGUGAAAUGUUGGGUUAAGUCCCGCAACGAGCGCAACCCUUAUCCUUUGUUGCCAGCGGUUAGGCCGGGAACUCAAAGGAGACUGCCAGUGAUAAACUGGAGGAAGGUGGGGAUGACGUCAAGUCAUCAUGGCCCUUACGACCAGGGCUACACACGUGCUACAAUGGCAUAUACAAAGAGAAGCGACCUCGCGAGAGCAAGCGGACCUCAUAAAGUAUGUCGUAGUCCGGAUUGGAGUCUGCAACUCGACUCCAUGAAGUCGGAAUCGCUAGUAAUCGUAGAUCAGAAUGCUACGGUGAAUACGUUCCCGGGCCUUGUACACACCGCCCGUCACACCAUGGGAGUGGGUUGCAAAAGAAGUAGGUAGCUUAACCUUCGGGAGGGCGCUUACCACUUUGUGAUUCAUGACUGGGGUG